GUCAUCUCUGGGAAAGACUGCUAUCUUCCUGACAGCUGGAGGGUCCACUCCCAUACAGUAGACGAAGUCUGCGAGGCUAAAUGCUGGCUAACUUCUUUAUAAACCUAUAAAUAACUGCACUUUAUUCUUUCCGAAAAGGAAACAAUGGAGACCGACGCAGUGUUCUUCACUGAUCACAGUGGACGAAUCACCAGUAACCCACUGCUGGACCAGCUCCCUAGCUACCAGUCCCUUCUGUACCGCAGAAAGUCAUCAGUUAGCGGCCCCAAACGAAGAAGCAGCUCCAGAGGGCGGCUCGGCUCCUCUAGCAGUGGGAAAUGGAACAUGAGCACCUUCACCAGACCUUUUGAGAAACAGAAGAGUCAAGUCACGGAGCAGCAGCCCAUCAGAGAACUCGCCAAGCCCAUGGCUGAGAAACGCAGGGACAAAACACAGCGCCUGGAAGAGGCUCAAGAGUUAACCAACUGGAGACAGUGGAGGCAAAGCAGCCACAGGUAUCUGAGGAGGCUCAGGGAUGAUGCCCAGGAGUGGCUGAGCUCCAUGAAGCUCUGGAGGGGUGACAUCCACCUGAUAGAAGGGAUGUUCGGCACAGGGAUCCUGUCUUACUUCUCCUUCCUUCGCUUUCUGGUCGUGCUGAACUUGAUUAUCUUUCUGAUCAAGUUCAGCUUUGUCAUGUUGCCCAUCAUCAUUGCCCCCUACGCUUCAGGGAAUAUCACUUACAACCUAAAUGAUGCUGGUGUGUGCAGCGUUUAUCCAAGCAGCGCCCGUCGAGGUCUUGUCAUCUUUCAUGAGCACAUUACAGAUCUGCUGUCUGGUGGAGGCUUUCUGGAACAGACCUAUCUUUUCUACGGCUACUACAAGGUGGACAAGAUCCAUUUUACAAACGUCACUUAUAAUUUGGCUCUGGCAUACCUGCUGUCCACUAUAGCAUACCUCUUCCUCAGUCUUAUCUGGAUUGUUAAAAGGUCUGCCAGAGGAUUUAAACGUAACCUGGUUCAGGAUGAGGAUCGCUUUCAGAGUUUUUGCAACAAGAUCUUUGCUGGCUGGGAUUUCUGCAUCACCAACGAGAACGCAGCAAGGCUGAAAAGAAGCAGUUUGCUUUAUGAGCUCAAGACGGAUCUGGAGGAGGAGAGAAUAAAACAGAAAAUAGCAGAUCGCACCCGCAAAGAGAAGUGUCGGAUUUACCUCAUCCGUCUCAUCCUCAACCUUUUUGUCAUUGGUGUCCUGGCUGCUUGCUUCUACAGCAUUUAUGUAGCCACCAUCUUCUCCCAGGAAGCACAAAUGACAAAAAUAAAGGUGAAUUUCAUUGUGGAUCUCAUCUAUGAAUAUCUGCCCUCAAUUGUUAUCACGUUGGCCAACUUCAUCACCCCCCUUCUCUUCUCCGUUAUCAUCAACUACGAGGACUACUCUCCUGCUUUUGAGAUCCGCUUCACUCUCAUGAGAUGCGUUUUCAUGCGGUUGACCAGUAUCGGGGUUUUGCUGUUCUCUCUGUGGUCUCAGAUAACUAACUGUGAAGAGGAGCCUUGUAUCUGUGGCUACAACCAUUUACUUUAUUCUUGUUGGGAGACCCGUGUGGGCCAGGAGAUGUACAAACUCACCAUCUUUGACUUCAUCACCAUUGUUGCGGUCACCAUCUUUGUGGAAUUUCCCCGCAAGCUGAUUGUGAAGCACUGUGACUGUGGCCUGGCCAAGUGGUGGGGCCAGCAGGAGUUUGCUAUUCCUCAGAACGUUCUAGAGAUCGUCUACGGUCAGACCAUCUGCUGGAUCGGCACAUUUUACUGCCCGAUGCUGCCUGCCAUCUGCACAAUCAAAUACUUCUUUAUUUUCUACAUCAAAAAGGUAUCAUUAAUAAACAACUGCCGUCCAGCCACACGGCCAUUCCGAGCAUCCAGCUCCAACUUCUUCUUCCUCGGUGUGCUGCUGAUUGGCCUGGCUCUUGCCUGUCUUCCUGUCACAGUUAGUGUAGCACAAAUAAACUGUUCCCAUGCUUGUGGACCGUUUGUUAAUUUCAAUACCUCCUGGGAGGUGCUGCCAACUACAGUAUCCCAGCUACCCAGUGGAGCCCAAACACUCCUCUUUGCUCUCUCAUCAGAGGCCUUUGCUGUCUCCUUCUUUGUAGUUACAUGUUUGGCCAUGUUUUAUGUGAUUGCAUUAGCGGGAGCACACAAGAGAGUCAUUAACCAACUGAGGGAUCAGCUAGCUAUGGAGGGUCGUGACAAACGAUUCCUGAUCCAGAAGUUGUGCCAGGCCCAGAGGCUCUCACCUGUCAGAUCCCCGGUGUCCAAAUCUAAGCCCCGCAGCCCCAGCUACCACACCAGCUUCUCCAGCAAUUUCAGCGAGGGAGUGUUCCUGGCACACUCACCUCCUGACUCCUCCACACAUGUGUGAGGCAAGUGCCCAAUUGUAGAGAACGAAAUAUACAGCAAUUGCAAGCUGUUUCAAUUAUUUCUUUAAGAGUUUUUUUGUUUUUUUUUACUGUGAAAACACUACAUUUUGGGAGCUACUCUGAACCUGCUGACAGUGUUCUUUCGUUGACAAUACGAAAAUUGUAAAACUAUUAAGAAGCGGAACUAUUUUUAAACCAAAACAAUCAUUCCUGGUCACCUGUGGUGUUUUCUCGUACUGUCUGUACUGUCAUUUUUUCCUUCUGAGAAGGACUUGCUUUAAACUACUGGACUUGUUCAUAAAGGCUUUCUAAAUUUUAUGCACUUUAAAUGUGUUAACACUAGAUUUUCCUCCUACUUCUGUGUUAACAGUACUAUAUAUUUGUUGUAUGUGCAUCUAACAAUUAUAGCAUUGUGAAUCACUCUGUUGCAUAAUAAUGCAAAUAACUAAUUUCAAAACACUAAACUGUAAUAAUGUUUUUUUUAACAAAAGUGUGACUGUAACUUCAACAUAUCUUUUGGAUAGUGGGUAUUUUGGUACUAUUGAUAAUGUUUUGGUCAAAUUUAAGGGAAAAUGCUGUUUAACUUAUGAUACCUUGAUAUGACUGUGGUGACUACUUUUUAUGUGAAACCAUAGACAUAAAAAAAUAAAUAUUUGUUUUUUAUCAGCAGCAGUGUUCAAAUGAUCCAAUGUCUCACCAAAACACAUUUUUGCAUGGAGGCUUUUAAUUAUUUCAUCUAUCAUCAGUCACCUGACAUCACAUGAAAACAAACUCAAUUGCAGGCUUUUAGGUUAUUUAAUCAGCUGUUAAGCUUCUAGUCAUGAUCAGUUACCUACAUGUUUACUCAUUUUCAGGGAAAGAUAAUGCUAAUGUGAUCAGGUUACAGGGUGACCAGCACUGUUCCCUCUAAGCUGCGCGCGUGCGCAAUUGCGCACUGCUGACACGGUCUCCGCGCACAGAAAAUCUCCACUGCACAAAAAAAACUCCAACCUAAAUUGUAAAUAAAAUAAACACGUAACAAUUCAUUCUGUUCUAUUUUUCAGUGUGAGUCAGUGAGUGACCGGUGACUGGCUGCUGCAGCCAAUGAUGCGAUUCACAUACGUAUUUACCAUAGACUGUAUAUAAUGGUAUUUACGCAGCUAAUCAACGUCAGACGUCCAUGGUUCUCAUAGAUAUGAAUGAGUAGAUAGGACACGCCCCUUUGAGCUGCGGCUACAGCGAGGCUAAGCUAGUGGGGGCAAAGUUUCAGUGCAUUCUGUUGAUGUAGAUGGUGUGAAAACGGAAACAAGUAUGCCGGCUCACUGUGCUGCAUACAAUUACACACUACGUCGUACGAUUGAGACAAGGAAACAUGGAAUGACUUUUCAUAGGUUUCCCAGAGACUAUGGGUUGAGGAGGAAGUGGAAGUUUGUCGGCUUAGACCUGGUGUCAUUCCAUCAGUGUUAAACUUCCCGGCUCAUCUUGGAAGAGUACGUGCCAGAAAGACCACGACCAAGCAGCCUUGAGAUCUUAGGCAGCAUCUCCCUGAGGUGGGUGUCGACGGUGUUCACGGCCAGGUCUGUGGUAAUCCCGUCAAAAAACAAAACAGAAAAAACAUCUAGAUUAUAAAUCAACAUGUAACCAAAGCACUCUGUGUAUAACGCCAUAGUAUAGAAUGUAGUUCAGAAAAUGUCAAAGUAUAGUAUGCUUUACUCAAGAAUAACAUAGUAUGGCCUGUAGUUCAUAGUACAGCAUGUUGGCAAGAAAACAAAACAAAACAUAGAUUAUUAUGUGGUUCAAAAAGCGCAAAAUGAUAGGAUGUUGCCUAAAAUUGUCAUGUAUGAUAUGUGGUUCAAAAAAUGUCAUAGUGCAGUAUAUUGUCAAAAAAGUAUGUAAUUCAAGAAGACAGUAUAAUAUGUCGUCUAAAAAAUGCCAUAGAAUAUUUCAUUGCACAAGUAAAAGUAUAGUAACUUUUAAAACUGUUCGAAUUCUUAUAUGUUGCUAAAAAAAACAAAAAAAAACUAAAACAAAAAAAACCCGUCAGUAAUAUGUCAAUUAAAAAAGCCUAUAGUAUAGCAUGUCGCUCUAAAAACGUCACAGUAUAGCCUUUAGUCCACAGCUGUCAGUAGGUGAGGAGCAACACAAAAACAGUUCAAACGCUGGUUUCCAGAGGGUUAGACGAGUAUUUAUUUGAAAGUGUAAGUUUACAACAACACAACAUGUGAGGGGGUUAAAAACAAAUGGGUGUUAGUAAAAUAAAAAUAAAUAAACAGAACUAAAAGUGAACUUCACGUUGACAUUGAUGGGCAUUCCAACCAGGAACAAAGUAAAAGAUAAUCAAUAUGAAAAACAACUCUUCCUGUUCACCUCUUAAAACCCAAAAACACACCGCAGUAGCAUCCUAAACUAAAACUACCAAUGUGUUCCCUGUUUUCCUUUGUGAACAAUUCAAAUGUCCCUCUCUAUCUCCCCACACAUCCACCAACCACUGGAACACAUCUCCAAAGUUCUGCCGGGCCAGCUCAGCUUCCCCUCAGAAGAAGUGACGCCACCUGCCAGAUGAAGGAGCCUUUUGAGAGGCAGCUGGCAUCGUGAUUGGACUGUACUUUGGUCUGUUCCAAUCCAGCUUCAGCUCCAGAGACGGCAGGCGGGACGAGUCAACGGAGGCCAGGUGGACGAAGGCAUGAAGCUGAGUACAAUCUAGAAAACAACAGAGGAGGAGUGCAGCAUCGUAUGUCUCUUAGAAAACAUCAUAGUAUAGCCUUUGGUAUGAAAAAAGGCCAUCAUAUACAUCAUAUAUUGUACAAAUAACAAGUCAAAGCAAAGAGACAUACAUUGUAGAAUUGUAGUAAUUGUGGGCUGACUGAUUUACUGAUUAUCAGUAUUUUAUUUUUUACUGAUUUACGGUAAUAAAUACAUUUAAAAAUGG